rnacentral:lncRNA from 1 species
UAAAAAAACAGUCAAUAUAGAACUAAAAUAAAUAGAUAAUUUACAUAACCAUAUAUUAUCUUUAUUUAUUAGUAGCUAUAAUCAAGCAAGGACAUUGUUGUUUUUGAUACAAGAAAAACAUAAAUCUCAAACUUUAAGGUAAAUUAUGAAAAUAAAAAUAUUAUGAUAUACAAAUAAUAUUAUGAGGUAAACAAAUGACAAACAUCGUCAAUGCACCUAUUAUGUAGAGGGAGAGGAAACAAAGGACAAUCAGCGUCACUGACACAUCGAAUUUCAAGUUCUGCAAUGUCAAAUAAGAAAAAAGAAUGUUAUUAAAACAUGAUAAAAUACUGUGUAUAAGAUAAAUUAGAAAAAUUACGAAAUAGUAUGACAAAUGACAUACCACCAUUGGUUAAAACAAAAAAUAAAGAAAAAAAGAUGAUCAAAGCAUAAACAAACAAGGAAAUUCGAGC